GUAGGUGACGUGCCCUUGGGGCCAGAAUAGCUACGGGAAACUGUAGGUAAUGCUGGAUAACCUCCCGAUUUUUGAAGAUAACGGGAGCAAUGGGUGUGAUUCCACCCAUGGAGCGGCCUGCGUGGUAUUAGCUAGUUGGUGAGGUAAUGGCUCACCAAGGCUCAGAUGCCUAGGGGGUGUGAGAGCAUGGCCCCCACCACUGGGACUGAGAUACUGCCCAGACACCUACGGGUGGCUGCAGUCGAGAAUCUUCGGCAAUGGACGAAAGUCUGACCGAGCGACGCCGCGUGCGGGAUGAAGGCCCUCGGGUUGUAAACCGCUGUCAGAGGGGAUGAAAUGCGUAUAGGUUAUCCUUUACGCUUGACAGAGCCUCAGAGGAAGCACGGGCUAAGUACGUGCCAGCAGCCGCGGUGAUACGUACUGUGCGAACGUUAUUCGGAAUUACUGGGCUUAAAGGGUGUGUAGGCGGCUGAUUAAGUAGGGUGUGAAAGGCUCCGGCCUAACCGGAGCAUUGCGCUCUAAACUGAUCGGCUU
rnacentral:rRNA from 1 species